AAAAAUGCAAUCAUAACACGUUUAUUUUACAUGGUUAGACUUCAGGAAGUGUGUUUACGGGGCGCAGGUCCCCGUUCACUUUGAAUAGGGCGACGUCAUCAGUUGCGGUCCGUAUUUAUUUUGUAUGUUUCGCUACGAAUUUGUAUGGUCAAGAUUUUCGUACACAUUUUUACAAACAGGUUUUGGAGAUCAGGCUGGCAAGAGAGUUGAUAGUAAUAGAAAAUAAAAAAUCAAUGAGAUUUACUAAAACCGAAACCAAACGACUCUUCACGAAAAUAUGUUUGUAAGGGUCCAAAAUAUUCGACCCACUUUGUGCAGAAUUGAAAGGACUCUUCACUCCGUGAGCUGCGUUCCAAUGGCUCAGCCCUUCAGCUCGUUUCAGAGCUCCUAUCUGCCCCGCCUUGAUGAUAAGUUCCUCUCAGGAGACUGGACAUGCUGCAACAACAUGCAGGUGUGUGUGUGUGUGUGUGUGUGUGUGCGCGGGGGGGUCGGGGGGCACUUAAAAGCAUUUCUUCCAAGGCCGCAGCAAAGGAUUCUGAGGAGUUAUUGAUUCAGGCCGGGCCGGUGGUCGAUGCUGAAGAUAAGACGAUAUCGCUUCGGGAGGCAUCAACGAGAGAAGUUUGACCUGGAAGAAUAAGUUACCAAUGAAAGACAUUUGCAGGGGCCCUGGACGGAGACGGAGACGGAGACGGGUGGGGGGCUCGUGUGGGAAAGGGUGCCUGGAGACUUGUUGCUCCUCAGCGGUUUUAACGACAAUGGCCGUUUUUUUUUUCUCGCGCAUCCGUUGAAUAAAAGAGGCUGAACUUUAGCCGCUGUCGCCUUGGCAACGAGUACACCUGGGAGCGGCCGGCGCAGCUCGCCUGCUAAACGUUAUUUACGGCCGGUUGCGAUGAUGCUCGGGUCAUUGGUUAAAUGAGGAGUUUCACCGCGUCAACACAGUGAAGUCUGGCUGUAAUUUAGGGAUGUAAUAAUGAACAACAAUCUCUGUCUUCCUCCUUCUGCCUCCCUCUUUAAAGGGGAAAACAAAAAAACAAAACACGUACAGCGCACUAAUCGUUUCAUGUGAUACUUUAUUUAAAAUACUAAAUGCAACGUUAUAGAUAUAGAAUUAAUUUCAAGCACUAAAAUAUCCGUUAAGGAAAAAAGCUUUGAUAAACACUGUGGGGCAUUCAUUUAAUUUAUCUCUGAUUAUUUCAUUUGUAGUAGUAGUAGUAGUAGUAGUAGUAGUAGUAGUAGUCAAUAACAAAGUUAAAUAUCACAAUUUACGACACCCAAUCUGAUACUGCUUUAAAAAACAACAAACGCUUCACGCCUUGAGUCCGUCGCCAUCUUGUUUUUUUGCAAACAAUGACAGCUGAUCAAACUUGAACUGAGGAGGGCGUCGAGACCUGUCAAUCAGCGUGUUAGGCCCGCCCUAAAACAUCCCCCACUCUGUUUGGCUCGGACCAUAAUUUACUAAAUGAACAUCAGGCUGUGUUGAAACUAGAGACUGAGACCAUAAACUUAUGUUUACAAUGAUUACUGAGGGAAUAAAUCAAGAGGGAAGUAGAAAAAAGUCAUUUUCUCAUAGACUUCUAUGGGACCAGAGGAGCCGCCCCCUGCUGGUCACUACACAGAAUGCAGCUUUAACACACAAAGCUUUGACUCCACUUUUUAGAACCAAAGGUUGCCGCCCGGUUGGAAGUUAAAUAGACAAGAGUAACCAGAAUACAUCUUAACAUAACGUUAUAAACCACCUUCACUUAAUAUAUAUUUUUUAACAUCUCUUGCCGUCCCUAAUUGUGUCAGCUAGCUUAAAGCCAGCUGUGGUUGUGAUGAGCACAUCUGUUCUCUGCUCUUACACUUAUUACUCAUUGACCUCGUUCUUAUCAUUUCUCCGCUAAAAUAAGUAAAUUGACCGACCAUAAAAGCAUUUCAGGUCCAGAUUCUCUUCAUGGAUCACAUUCCGGUAAUCUUUAAACGUGUUAUCAUGGAUCGCCUGUGAGGAGAAUCGAAUAAUAUCACAAUAUCAUAUGUGUCAGAACCUGAGAACCAUAAGUACGUUCUCAGAACGGCACUAAUGAGAUGAGGUGGAUUAUUUCCUUAUUGUCCUUAUUUCCAUUAGAUGGUUUACUGAGUUGAUAACACGUUUGGAUAACGUGUUCCUGAGUAGUUCACUGCUCUGAUUCACUUCAGGGUUAAAAGACACUUUGACCUCGUUAUUACGCGACUGAUUUACAGCUUUCAAACUGCACGUUGUAUUCCAGAUGGAUCAAACUCUCACUGAUCCCUGCUUGAUUAACACCGGGGGAGAAACAACUUUCACUGGGGGGCAUUCGUAUGAUACUUCUGAUUGAAAUUAUGUGGCUCUGGCAUGUGCCAAUUCAUUUAUUUAUUUUUUAUUAGGGAUUUACCCAGAAUUUCCAUUGGUCACUAGCAAGGCACCAAUUACCUUUCUUGAUUUCUUACAGAAAAA
ensembl:lncRNA